AGCACUUUGCGGAGGCAGACUUCGCAAUGAAGGGCACUUUCAAUGAGGAAACUGGGAGUUUCCGAAUGGAAAGGAGUCAUAGGCCUACAUUGAAGCCCUCUGCUUGCGCCUCCAUUUGAAAUUGAGGGUUAUGGUGUAGGGGUUACCAACCGACCAUCAUGAACAUCACUGAUUUUUGGAGUCAAGCAAAAGCAACUGAAUGGAGGAGGCGACGAUGACAUCUUCAUCCCUGACAAUGUUUUCAUCCUGGAGGAGACUGUGCAGAAGGCAGAGGAAAGAACAGUUAGUACAGCAUGCCAAACUGACUCCUGGGUGCCAGUGUUCCCGUGCUGCGGUGGAGAAGAGGUCCACCGGGACCAUCACUAAAGAGCUCAGGGCCCAGCAAGAUUGCUCUCACAACCAUCAGUAUACAACCGGGUCCUGCCCCUAUACGCCACAGAUGGAGCUGAAUGAGAGUGAGGUCUGUGAAGACCAUAACUCGCUGUAUGAACCUGAGAGCUCAGAAUCACAAUCACAAUCAUCACAGUCUAAGCCAAGAUAUACUAUCAAUCACUUUGGGGGAGCGGGAUGUUGUUCCGAAAAUGGAGAAAGAGCAGGCCAUUCAACAUCGAAUUCAAAGAUACACCCAUCCAUAAAGGGAAUCGGAGUGGAAUUGUUUUAACAGUUUUUUUUUUACCCGUUUCAAUGGAUGUGCUACCUUGUCCCAGUUCUGCUGUUUCCAUUUUCUCUCUCUCUCAACCUAUGAAUGCUCAGCUACAAAAAGACAACUGACAUUUGCUCCUGAGGUGUUGAACUGUUGCACCCUCUAUAACCACAGUGGUUAUUAUUUUAAUGUAAAAAGGGCUUUUGUAAAAAUAAAUUUGAUUGAUUGUU